rnacentral:tRNA from 1 species
UGCCGAAACCGGGGAUCGAACCAGGGACCUUUAGAUCUUCAGUCUAACGCUCUCCGAACUGAGCUAUUUCGCC